rnacentral:SRP_RNA from 1 species
GCUGGGCAUGGUGGCGCUUGCCUGUAGUCCCAGCUACUCAGGAGGCUGAGGCAGGAGAAUUGCUUGAACCUGGGAGGCGGAGGUUGCAGUGAGCCAAGAUCGCACCACUGCACUCCAGCCUGGGCAACAGAGCAAGACUUCGUCUCGAAAAUUAAAAAAAAAAGGCAGGGUCUCACUUUGUCACCCAAGCUGGAGUGCAGUGGUGCAAUCUUGGCUCACUGCAGCCUCUACCUAUGGGGUUCAAGCAAUUCUCCUGCCUCAG